GCCGUUCUCAGUGCCGAAUUUGUCUUUUUUCAUUUAAGCAAAUUAUUGGUGCCGAAACGUCUGGACACCCAUUAUUUUACAACCCAUUUCCUAUAUUCCUUCGACAGAGUUUAGAAGAGCAUCACCACGCAUUCAUAAUACGCGAAUUAGGGUAUCAACAUCACACAACACUUGACAACAGGAAUGGAGAAAGAAUUAUCCUCUUCAGUCCACCUAGAAUUGGGAAUGAAGAAAAAUAGAAAUUCUGGACAAGAAACAGAGGUUUCCCAUGGACAUGUUAUUCCCAAUUCCGGAAUUACACGUGCCCCACGAGUGAUACGCGAUGGCAAAGUGGCCGUCAUCUAUCAGCCCAAUCACGGUAUUGGUUGGUACUCAGUACAUAAGAUUGAAGCCCUUCUUUUUGCUCCCGAGAUUGUUUUCAUGAUUGAACAAGAAGAGUCAGGUUCGAAAGUCCACGAGUAUUGCUGCAGCAUGAAGUACGGCAGUGCUGUGAAUCCUGUGUUAGAUAUUAUGUGUCAUGGUCUCAGCAUCAAUUGGGUGCCCGUUUCGGAAGAGUUUCGAAUCCACGAGUAUGACGGAAGUGAACAAAUUGUUUUAAAAUCUACUGAUCAAUGGAUUAUUGCUUAAACCAUGCUCAUUUGAUUGUACAAGAUUAACGUUUGAAUAUAAAUAAUUCAGCAACGUCAUGUGUGCGUUGUAAAUUAGGUUGAUAAAUUUUGUAAUAACAAUUCUAAUUAUCCCCAUCGCCCAUGUCAAAUAACACCCAGCCCGUAGUGGCGUAAUAAAAAAAAAAUUAACAAAAAUUAAACACCAGUGAUGACAUCACUAAUAGCCAAGUGCAAUCGAACGUUUUCACGAUGAGUUUUCACGAUGAAAUACACUUAAAUGUGUUAAGUCUUCUUUAUCGAAAAUAGAUGGCGUAUGAUUAUUGUUUUUUUUAAUAGUUGUCUGCUAAUAGGUAUUUUAAUUUGAACUAAGCCUUAAUGAAAAUUGAAAAAAAAAAGAUUUUUUGUAGAUUUUUAAAAUCACAAAUGUAAUUUUUUUCAAACUUGUGUACGUCAUAUGCUUUUUAAUAACACAGCCACGUCUGAGCUUCAUUGCUGUCAUGCAUGUGGUUUUGUUUCAGCCAGCUCUGGUGAAAGUGAAUUUGGAGCUGCUGCAUGUAGUCUAUGGAGCAGGUGUCGUUCUGAAGUGUGCAAGCAUUACCUAAAGUGCAACAGCAAUUGAAGAAUUCUCGAAAUGGUCACAACUUCACCUCUGAUCUAGACUUGGUGGCAAUGGUAUGCAUCAGACUGCUAUGCACAGUCUACCGAUCUGGUGUGUCAUCCUGAAACUUAUAAGCCAGACCUGAAGGUGAAUUGCAAGAAGACUUCUUGAAAUGGUUUUUCAAUAACAGCCAGGUAAAAUCUCUUCUUCAUUGCUGUCUCUAACACAACACAGUAUGGUUUUUUGGUUUCGGCCAGCCGGUGCAAGACUGCAAGAUGUUGUCUAAUCAGGUUCUACUGUUGCAUGGAGUCUGUGAUGCCGCUGGUGAUCUGAAAAAUAUUGUUGCGCUUGUUUCUGAUAAGUGUGUUGUUUGAAGUAGUCUGUGAUGUAGACAAAUGCAUAUUAUCUUCUUUUCUGGGCUCCCUUCUGUUCUGUGAUCCCGUUUCCCUUUCUAUGACUAAUCGCUCCCCAGCAAAACUGAUCUGGCACUGCUCUCUUCUUCCUUGUCCAGGACAUCUCCCUGGGCACAGUCAAUCAAUGCAGUCUCCCCCUGUCUUGAUAGACUGAAUUUUGCAUGGAAAAUUCAACAUUGAUAAUAUUAAGUUAAAGGUAAAAUUGAUAUUUGUGAUAGGGGAUGAUAAACAUGUACAUAAUAGUAUAAACAAGAUUUAAACAGCUGCAUUUUCAUUAUGAAAUCUAUUUAUUACAAAAUUAUUCAUACAUUAUAUUUCCCAACUGAAUAAUUUGUUUCUUUUCUAAUGUUUUUUUUUGUUUUUUAAAUUGAUUUACAUAAUGUACUGUACCAACCAAUUAAAUUAAACAUAAGAAUCGUAAUUUUGUUGGAUGGCAGAGGGCCUGUUGCUUUCUC
rnacentral:lncRNA from 1 species